rnacentral:lncRNA from 1 species
AAAAUUAUAGACUCCCUUCUGCUAAGCAGCUGCAUCACUUGCCCUAAACUUUUCUAGAGAAAUCCAUAGCAUUCCUUAACCAGCACUCGUGGCAACUGAAACCUUCUCCACCUGUGAAGCCACCUUUGUCUGGUGCUCCAUUUGAAUUCGAAGUCACCUGAUGUCGCAAAAGCUAACUCUGUUACCCGAGUCACCCAAGGUCAACCAUCCAACAUGAUACUACUAGGCCUACCACUGCACC